CUACGGGGCGCUGCAGUAAGGAAUAUUGCGCAAUGGAGGCAACUCUGACGCAGCCAUGCCGCGUGCAGGAAGAAGGCCUUAUGGGUCGUAAACUGCUUUUAUUUAGGAAUAAACCCCCGAACGUGUUCGGGGCUGAAGGCACUAAACGAAUAAGCACCGGCUAACUCCGUGCCAGCAGCCGCGGUAAUACGGAGGGUGCAAGCGUUAUCCGGAUUUAUUGGGUUUAAAGGGUGCGCAGGCGGGCUAUUAAGUCAGUGGUGAAAUCCCGGGGCUCAACUCCGGAACUGCCAUUGAUACUGAUAGUCUUGAGUUUGGUUGAAGUGGGCGGAAUGUAGCAUGUAGCGGUGAAAUGCAUAGAUAUGCUACAGAACACCAAUCGCGAAGGCAGCUCACUAAGCCAAAACUGACGCUCAUGCACGAAAGCGUGGGGAUCAAACAGGAUUAGAUACCCUAGUAGUC
rnacentral:rRNA from 1 species